UACAGAGGGUGCAAGCGUUGUUCGGAAUUAUUGGGCGUAAAGGGCGCGUAGGCGGCUAUUCAAGUGGCGGGUGAAAUCCCUCGGCUUAACCGAGGAACUGCCUGCCAGACUGGAUGGCUUGAGACCGGGAGAGGUGAGUGGAAUUCCCAGUGUAGCGGUGAAAUGCGUAGAUAUUGGGAGGAACACCAGUGGCGAAGGCGGCUCACUGGACCGGUACUGACGCUGAGGCGCGAAAGCGUGGGGAGCAAACAGG
rnacentral:rRNA from 1 species